UCAGAACGUCGUGAGACAGUUCGGUCCCUAUCUGCCGUGGGCGUAGGAAUAUUGAUGGGAUCUGCCCCUAGUACGAGAGGACCGGGGUGGACGUAUCUCUGGUGGACCUGUUGUUGCGCCAGCAGCAUAGCAGGGUAGCUAUAUACGGAAUAGAUAACCGCUGAAGGCAUCUAAGCGGGAAACUAACCCAAAGACGAGUAUUCCCUGAGAGCCGUGGAAGACUACCACGUUGAUAGGCUGGGUGUGGAAGU
rnacentral:rRNA from 1 species